CAAUAGCGUAUAUUAAAGUUGUUGCAGUUAAAAGCUCGUAGUUGGAUUUCUGGUGGGAGCGAUAUGCCCGCGCCGCAAGGCGUGUGAGCUUGUUCGUCUCCGGCCAUCCUUGGGGAAACGUGCCUGGCAUUAGGUUGUCGGGUUCGGGAUCCUCAUCGUUUACUGUGAAAAUUAGAGUGUUUAAAGCAGGCUUAUGCCGUUGAAUACAUUAGCAUGGAAUAAUAAGAUAGGACUUUGGUGGUCUAUUUUGUUGGUUUGCACACCAAGGUAAUGAUUAAUAGGGAUAGUUGGGGGUGGAUUCUGUAUUCAAUUUGAUUCGAGAGGUGAAAAUUUCUUGGAUUUAUGGAAAGACGAACUA
rnacentral:rRNA from 1 species